CCUUUUUUCUCUUCUCCGUCUUCAAUCUUUCAUGGGAAAGGUCGCUGCCUCACUUUCUGGGUGCAUAUGGACCGGCAUUACCUGCGACAACGCCAACUGUCUCGAAGAUGGGCUCUUGCUUUUCCUCUGAAUCCAGCAAUUCCUCUGUUUCCCCAACAAUCAAAGUCAUCUCCGCGGACGGCAAGCUCCGCGACUACAUAUCCCCCGUUACGGUAUCCGACUAUCCCGGGCCCUCGAAAUGGAGACGUCGCUGUGCUUCAUCUGCAGCUCCGACAAGCUUUUCUACGACUCCCUCAUUCCACCCUUGCACCCUGCCCAGCAACUCCAGUCUGGACAACUCUACUUCGUCCUUCCCCUCACCCGGAUGCACUACCGCCUGACGGCUUCCGACAUGGCAGCAUUGGCUGUGAAAGCCAGUACUGCCCAUUCUUACGACUUCCGACUCAGAGCAGAGAUCUCUGCCAAGAAAACUGUUCAACAUCGUCCCAGAGAUCUCUGGCUGUUGAAAUGGGCUUAUCGUCCCAGAGAUCUGCCAAGCGAACUGUUCAACAGAGAGAUCUCCGUCGAAAUGGACUCAAGAAUCGUGUGCUUGAACAUUUCAACAGCACAUAAGCGAAACUGUUGAACUAGAGAUCUAGUACACAUCCCCCAUUGCGGUAUCCCACUAUCGCAGGCCCUCGAAAUGGAGACGUCGUCGUGCUUCAUCUGCAACUCCGGCAAGCUUUUCUACGGCUCUCUCAUUCCACCCUAUUUAACUUAUUUAACCAAUCUCAGAUGUCAUAGACCCCGGUUUUGUUUGUUGACGACAAAGACUCCGACAAGCUUCUCUUUAUUUUGUGGUGAUAUGUGACCAUUAAGUCAGAUGACGGUAUCCCCCUGUAUUUUGCUUCUCUUUAUUUUGUUUGUUGCAGGUUGAACUAAAGCCAAUGGCUGCCGGUAAUUCCUCCUCCAGAAGAAAAUCUUUUUCAUCUCACAAGAAGAAGCACGUUAAGCCUUCCUCCGAGGACUUGUAGUUGACGGAGCCGGAGACUCUCCUGCAGCACUUGCAGAGCCGGAGCCGCCUCCCCUGCAACACUUGGGGAGUUCGAGCCGGUGUUAGAUCCUACGGUCAUAGUACAAGGGUAGUAUCGAAAGGUCGGGAAAGAUGAAUAGUGUUUUUCUGGGAUUAAAAAAUAUUGUAACAGCCUUUUUAGACGGAAGGCUAAGGGAAGAGGUCUUUCACUUGGGGUCUUUGUCGCAAAACAAAAUAAAGAGGUCUUUAUCA